rnacentral:snoRNA from 1 species
AAAAUAUACUUCACUUAAGUAAAAAUUUCACAAUGAACCCACAAGCGUAGAUAGUGUGCUAGAUGGGGGCAAGUCUUUUGCUAAUACAAGGAUCUCUGGCCCAAUGAAUGGAGUUUGAUGGUAGUCCUUGCUUUAAGU